GGUUAAGCGACUAAGCGUACACGGUGGAUGCCCUGGCAGUCAGAGGCGAUGAAGGACGUGCUAAUCUGCGAUAAGCGUCGGUAAGGUGAUAUGAACCGUUAUAACCGGCGAUUUCCGAAUGGGGAAACCCAGUGUGAUUCGUCACACUAUCAUUAACUGAAUCCAUAGGUUAAUGAGGCGAACCGGGGGAACUGAAACAUCUAAGUACCCCGAGGAAAAGAAAUCAACCGAGAUUCCCCCAGUAGCGGCGAGCGAACGGGGAGGAGCCCAGAGCCUGAAUCAGUGUGUGUGUUAGUGGAAGCGUCUGGAAAGGCGCGCGAUACAGGGUGACAGCCCCGUACACAAAAAUGCACAUACUGUGAGCUCGAUGAGUAGGGCGGGACACGUGGUAUCCUGUCUGAAUAUGGGGGGACCAUCCUCCAAGGCUAAAUACUCCUGACUGACCGAUAGUGAACCAGUACCGUGAGGGAAAGGCGAAAAGAACCCCGGCGAGGGGAGUGAAAAAGAACCUGAAACCGUGUACGUACAAGCAGUGGGAGCACAGAGCAAUCUGUGUGACUGCGUACCUUUUGUAUAAUGGGUCAGCGACUUAUAUUCUGUAGCAAGGUUAACCGAAUAGGGGAGCCGAAGGGAAACCGAGUCUUAACUGGGCGUUAAGUUGCAGGGUAUAGACCCGAAACCCGGUGAUCUAGCCAUGGGCAGGUUGAAGGUUGGGUAACACUAACUGGAGGACCGAACCGACUAAUGUUGAAAAAUUAGCGGAUGACUUGUGGCUGGGGGUGAAAGGCCAAUCAAACCGGGAGAUAGCUGGUUCUCCCCGAAAGCUAUUUAGGUAGCGCCUCGUGAAUUCAUCUCCGGGGGUAGAGCACUGUUUCGGCAAGGGGGUCAUCCCGACUUACCAACCCGAUGCAAACUGCGAAUACCGGAGAAUGUUAUCACGGGAGACACACGGCGGGUGCUAACGUCCGUCGUGAAGAGGGAAACAACCCAGACCGCCAGCUAAGGUCCCAAAGUCAUGGUUAAGUGGGAAACGAUGUGGGAAGGCCCAGACAGCCAGGAUGUUGGCUUAGAAGCAGCCAUCAUUUAAAGAAAGCGUAAUAGCUCACUGGUCGAGUCGGCCUGCGCGGAAGAUGUAACGGGGCUAAACCAUGCACCGAAGCUGCGGCAGCGACACUGUGUGUUGUUGGGUAGGGGAGCGUUCUGUAAGCCUGUGAAGGUGUGCUGUGAGGCAUGCUGGAGGUAUCAGAAGUGCGAAUGCUGACAUAAGUAACGAUAAAGCGGGUGAAAAGCCCGCUCGCCGGAAGACCAAGGGUUCCUGUCCAACGUUAAUCGGGGCAGGGUGAGUCGACCCCUAAGGCGAGGCCGAAAGGCGUAGUCGAUGGGAAACAGGUUAAUAUUCCUGUACUUGGUGUUACUGCGAAGGGGGGACGGAGAAGGCUAUGUUGGCCGGGCGACGGUUGUCCCGGUUUAAGCGUGUAGGCUGGUUUUCCAGGCAAAUCCGGAAAAUCAAGGCUGAGGCGUGAUGACGAGGCACUACGGUGCUGAAGCAACAAAUGCCCUGCUUCCAGGAAAAGCCUCUAAGCAUCAGGUAACAUCAAAUCGUACCCCAAACCGACACAGGUGGUCAGGUAGAGAAUACCAAGGCGCUUGAGAGAACUCGGGUGAAGGAACUAGGCAAAAUGGUGCCGUAACUUCGGGAGAAGGCACGCUGAUAUGUAGGUGAAGUCCCUCGCGGAUGGAGCUGAAAUCAGUCGAAGAUACCAGCUGGCUGCAACUGUUUAUUAAAAACACAGCACUGUGCAAACACGAAAGUGGACGUAUACGGUGUGACGCCUGCCCGGUGCCGGAAGGUUAAUUGAUGGGGUCAGCGCAAGCGAAGCUCUUGAUCGAAGCCCCGGUAAACGGCGGCCGUAACUAUAACGGUCCUAAGGUAGCGAAAUUCCUUGUCGGGUAAGUUCCGACCUGCACGAAUGGCGUAAUGAUGGCCAGGCUGUCUCCACCCGAGACUCAGUGAAAUUGAACUCGCUGUGAAGAUGCAGUGUACCCGCGGCAAGACGGAAAGACCCCGUGAACCUUUACUAUAGCUUGACACUGAACAUUGAGCCUUGAUGUGUAGGAUAGGUGGGAGGCUUUGAAGUGUGGACGCCAGUCUGCAUGGAGCCGACCUUGAAAUACCACCCUUUAAUGUUUGAUGUUCUAACGUUGACCCGUAAUCCGGGUUGCGGACAGUGUCUGGUGGGUAGUUUGACUGGGGCGGUCUCCUCCUAAAGAGUAACGGAGGAGCACGAAGGUUGGCUAAUCCUGGUCGGACAUCAGGAGGUUAGUGCAAUGGCAUAAGCCAGCUUGACUGCGAGCGUGACGGCGCGAGCAGGUGCGAAAGCAGGUCAUAGUGAUCCGGUGGUUCUGAAUGGAAGGGCCAUCGCUCAACGGAUAAAAGGUACUCCGGGGAUAACAGGCUGAUACCGCCCAAGAGUUCAUAUCGACGGCGGUGUUUGGCACCUCGAUGUCGGCUCAUCACAUCCUGGGGCUGAAGUAGGUCCCAAGGGUAUGGCUGUUCGCCAUUUAAAGUGGUACGCGAGCUGGGUUUAGAACGUCGUGAGACAGUUCGGUCCCUAUCUGCCGUGGGCGCUGGAGAACUGAGGGGGGCUGCUCCUAGUACGAGAGGACCGGAGUGGACGCAUCACUGGUGUUCGGGUUGUCAUGCCAAUGGCACUGCCCGGUAGCUAAAUGCGGAAGAGAUAAGUGCUGAAAGCAUCUAAGCACGAAACUUGCCCCGAGAUGAGUUCUCCCUGACCCUUUAAGGGUCCUGAAGGAACGUUGAAGACGACGACGUUGAUAGGCCGGGUGUGUAAGCGCAGCGAUGCGUUGAGCUAACCGGUACUAAUGAACCGUGAGGCUUAACCUU
rnacentral:rRNA from 1 species